rnacentral:ncRNA from 2 species
AAUAUCUUCGGGGCAGGGUGAAAUUCCCUACCGGCGGUAAAGCCCGCGAGCAUUAUGCAUGAAUCGGUGAAAUUCCGAUGCCGACAGUACAGUCUGGAUGGAAGAAGAACAAG